rfam:Triticum aestivum genome assembly, contig: Triticum_aestivum_CS42_TGACv1_scaffold_486274_6AS
AUACCUUUUUCGGUCUUUUGGCUAAGAUCAAGUGUAGUAUCUGUUCUUAUCAGUUUAAUAUCUGAUAUGUGGGCCAUGUGCCCACAACGAUAUUAAAUCUAUUUUUUAUGAGGGAGGGUCCACCACACUAGCUUGCUAAUGGGGCUCUCGUGUGUCGCUUGGGCGUUGCACUACUGCUCAGGCUAGGUGCACCCUAA